GAUGAAGAACGUAGCGAAAUGCGAUAAGUAGUGUGAAUUGCAGAAUUCAGUGAAUCAUCGAAUCUUUGAACGCACAUUGCUCCCCUUGGUAUUCCAUGGGGCAUGCCUGUUCGAGCGUCAUUUGUACCUUCAAGCUCUGCUUGGUGUUGGGUGUUUGUCUCGCCUCUGCGUGUAGACUCGCCUCAAAACAAUUGGCAGCCGGCGUAUUGAUUUCGGAGCGCAGUACAUCUCGCGCUUUGCACUCAUAACGACGACGUCCAAAAGUACAUUUUUACACUCUUGACCUCGGAUCAGGUAGGGAUACCCGCUGAACUUAAGCAUAUCAAUAAGCGGAGGA
rnacentral:misc_RNA from 1 species